rnacentral:rRNA from 1 species
UACGUAGGUGGCAAGCGUUGUCCGGAAUUACUGGGCGUAAAGGGCUCGUAGGCGGCCAACUAAGUCGGAUGUGAAAUCCCCAGGCUUAACCUGGGAACUGCAUCCGAUACUGGAUGGCUUGAAUCCGGGAGAGGGAUGCAGAAUUCCAGGUGUAGCGGUGAAAUGCGUAGAUAUCUGGAGGAAUACCGGUGGCGAAGGCGGCAUCCUGGACCGGCAUUGACGCUGAUGAGCGAAAAGCUAGGGGAGCAAACGGGG